AGUCAAAGAACUAAUAUACGCCAUCUUCAAGCAGCGAUUCACUCAGUCAUUACUAUCAGAAACGACCAAGGUCCAGAACAUCGAGAGAAACUGAGAAGGAGGAAAGUCCACGAAGAAGCCUCUCCUCUGGAAAUUCAAGAAAAAACAGAGAGCUCAGCUCGAUUCAUUGAACCCAAAGCCGAAAACCACAGAGAGAGAGAGAGAGAGAGAGAGAGAGAGGACUUGGCUUUAGCGAUCGAACGGCGAGGAGCCGAGCAGGAGGAGCCGUUGUAGUCGGAGCAAAGGCUGAGAGACGUCAGAAACUGAGCCGGAGCUCUGCCGAGCUCAGCGCUCUCCCUCGCUACAAUUCUUCUUCCAUCAUCUUCUAGC
rnacentral:lncRNA from 1 species